rnacentral:misc_RNA from 1 species
UUUGUUUUCUUUUUUCGUCACGACAUUUCUGUCGCGUUUGUUCUUCAGACCGACUACAUUGAAAACAAAGCGUUUGCGGGUCCCUCCCCCCCGGGGCGCGAGCCCGGGGGGGAAGCAACAGGUAAAGGUACGCAGUGUGGAUUUCUAACGAAAUGAAAGUAACGUUGAAAUUUUGCUAAUGAUCCUUCCGCAGGUUCACCUACGGAAA